GAUGAACGCUAGCGGCAGGCUUAACACAUGCAAGUCGAGGGGCAGCGCGAUGUAGCAAUACAUUGGCGGCGACCGGCGCACGGGUGCGUAACACGUAUGGAAUCUGCCCUGUACUGGAAGAUAACCCGGCGAAAGUCGGACUAAUAUCCCAUAAUAGCCGAGGUGGCAUCACCUUGGUUUGAAAGCUCCGGCGGUACAGGAUGACCAUGCGCACGAUUAGCUAGUUGGUGAGGUAACGGCUCACCAAGGCUACGAUCGUUAGGGGGCCUGAGAGGGUUAUCCCCCACACUGGUACUGAGACACGGACCAGACUCCUACGGGAGGCAGCAGUGAGGAAUAUUGGACAAUGGGCGAAAGCCUGAUCCAGCCAUGCCGCGUGCAGGAAGAAGGCCUUGGGUUGUAAACUGCUUUAGUCUAGGAAAAGGGUGCGAGGUUAAUACCUCGUGCUUUGAUGGUACUGGAAGAAUAAGCACCGGCUAACUACGUGCC
rnacentral:rRNA from 1 species